UGUGAGGGUUUUAGCCUUAGCCGCCGCAGAGGCGCCGACCCUGCUAUAGGCCUCAAGCCUCCGUGUCGACGGCGGCGCAGCCACAGUUCAUUGAUUCUAUCCUCUCCCUGUAUUUCCCUCUCUGCCUCCUAAUGCUGCGGCAGUGCGGAUUUUCCAUCUCUGGUCGAGAGAUGGGAUGGUUUCAUGGCAGGAAGCUGCAAAGUCACUGAAGACCGCGAUAGACGAAAUGGGGAAGAUUUAAUCUGUUAACAAGUAUUGAUUGGUGAGAAUUCUACCUAAGGUCCAGUCUCAGCAUUUCAAUCCUGAGAUGCUGCCAAGACACAUCAAGGAAUCUGACAUGUGAUCCCCUUGCUAAUCCAAAUUAUAUCAAAGUAGAUAUCCUUGUCCCUCUUUUGAAGAGAAGAGCACAUCUUUGAAGAACCAAUGGUGAAUUGUCCUUGAAGCGGAGUCCGGUUGGGACUGAUCAAGCCAGCAUGGAAUGCUGACAGGCACAGCACAAAUAAGUAAAUAAAUAAAUAUAUAUAUAUAUAUAUAUAUAUAUAUAUAAUAUUGUAUAGGUUUUGAAAUAUUUGUGCUAAAAUUAUGGGCCGUUUAAUCAAUGUGGUUCAUUGACUCACAAGUUGUCAGUUGUAAAAUAACUUUUGACUAGAUGACAAAUAAUUUUAUUUUUUCAGAUAAAAAAAAAAGUUGGCAUUUCCAUAUUUAUUUAAUUGAUAAUGUCAAAUUGUUGAUACUAUUGCACUUGCGCAUGGUAAUUUCAUUUUUUCAGGUCCCACGUUGUGUUAGCCUUUAAGAUUACUCCCUCUCUCUUUAUCAUGGAGAGUAAGUCAACCGUUUAGGGAUGGUCUUUUCAAUAAUUUUUGAGUUAUUUUUUGCAAUCCGACCAUAUGGAUGUACGUGAAAUUUUCAAAUGAAAGGGAAAAUGUUGCAAGGUUAAUAAGGGCUCUAAAUCUAAUGGUUUUUGGCUCAAAAUUUGAUAUGCACAUUCUCAAGGCUUGAUUAUUCUCUUGCUUCUUUGAAUGCUUUGUGUUCAUCAAAUUUGGUUAGAGUUUUAAGGAAGUAUGGUUUGUGCCUUUUAAAAGUGUUUGUAUUGUUCCUUUCUUCUUUUGAACUAGUGAAAUAUUUUAAGGUUCCAUUAAGUGAUUCAAGUGGUGUCGGCACAAUAUGCAACUCCAUGUGGCUUUUAUAACUCGAGUUUUGAAAGCCUAAUGCUCACUAACGUCGAAUAUUUAAUUUCUUUUCAAAGUGAAUCGUUAAGAAAGUGAUCAAUUAAAAAAUUUGAUUUUAUUUCCAAAACUAAUAGUUAUUUUAGAAACAUAGUAAUGUUUUUUUAAUAAGUUAUUUUAUACAUGGCUUAUGAGCGGUUUGAUUUUGGUAAUUGGAUGACCUAUGAUGAUGUUUACAGUGUUCAGUUUUUUUGGUGGAGCUUAUAUAUAUAUAUAUAUAUAUAUAUAUUAAUAAGUUAUUUUAUACAUGGCUUAUGAGCGGUUUGAUUUUGGUCAUUGGAUGACCUAUGAUGAUGUUUACAGUGUUCAGUUUUUUUGGUGGAGCUUUUAUAUAUAUAUAUAUAUAUAUAUAUAUAUAUAUAUAUAUAUAUAUAUAAUAGGUAAACUGCCGAUUGCUGGAUGACUGUAUAUUUGAAAUCUGUCCGGAUAUUAUUGGUUCCUCAAACUGUCAAAUUGCUUUAUUAAAAUUUUAGAUUUUCAUGAUGCUUCCCUUGCCUGCAUUUAUAAUGGUUUAGACAAGUGAUUGUUCCCCAUUUAUAUGAUCAUGAGAUGCUUCUCUUUGGUUCUUGAGUUACAGUUGGCCUUGUCUUCCUGUUCUUCUCAGAUAAAGUGCUCUUCAAUAACAAUGCAUUGGUGUGAGCAUUUGGAAAAGCUUAUCACUAUGUGAUUAUUUUGCAUUUGAUUGUUAUGGACAAAGUAUAUAUAUGUAUAUAUAUAUAUAUAUAUAUAUAUAUAUUUCUAUUUAUUUUUUUGAUGAAAUGAAUGGCCAAGUUAUCUGAAUAUGACAGUCGGUUUGAUGUUGUGAUCUCCCAAUGGUGGGCACUCUCUCCCUCUCUCUCUCUCUUUGCAUCGAGUGUCAUUAUAACAAGUUGAAAAGUACCAGGACGAAGCUAUGCCAUGAGCUUAGAGGUUGCUGAGCUCGAUACAACCUCUCCAAAGGAGUCAGGUGAAAUGAUAUAUGCCUAAUAUAGAUGAUAUAUGCCUAGUAUAGACUUAGAGCAAGUAAUAAACAGCUGAAGACACCUUGAUUACCUGAAUAAUGUGCUUUGCUGAUAACGUCAGCAUUCUGCGAUUGUCUAGAUGAUAGUGCUUGCAUUAUCCACUACGGAAAGUGCUCUACAAUACGCUUAUGGGUUUUUCAGUCGAUUAACAAACAAAACUAGCUGCAUCCAUUCCACCUUGGUCUACCACUGAGGUCAACCUUAGAACACGAAUUCUGCUUCAAACAUGAAUAUAAGAAAGGGAAAAAAAGUUCCAGGAAGUUUCCAUUUCAUCAUAUGAUGUCCAUAGCAGAAGCCAGCUGUUUUUUGUCAACAAAAAGAAUGGCUUCAACGCCUUUCAAUUGAGGCAGAUGCUGGACCAUCAUAUGUAUUCUAAAGAGCGUGAUCAAGGUGUUUUAAUAGGUGGAAGUUGAACCUCAUUUGGUCACUACUUGCAGUUUGGUCAUGCUGAUCUUAAGACACUUGUUCUUGAUGAUGAAUAGUGUCGGAAAUCAUUUGAAUUCUUAACAUUUAAAGCAGCGGACUGGUAAAUAAUGUUCACAAAAAUCUGUUUCUGCAUUCUUACAUGCAUGUCAGAAGAAGGACAGGGGUGGGGAAGGAAGGAGAAGGAAAAGAUGAAUGGGGAAGAAUGGUGAAGAAGAAAAAAGGGUGCGGAGGAAGGAGAGGAAGAUGAAAGAAGAGUAAGGAGGGGAAGGAGAAGAAGACCAAAUUGGGACAAGGAAAAGUAAAAGAGAAAAUGGGAAGAAAGUGGGAGCAGGGGAAAGGGGAAGAAGAAGGGGAGCAGGAAGAAGGGAAGGGAAAAAGGGGGGAAUAUACCUGCGAUUUCCGUCUGGGAAAGUUGAGAUUCCUAACGAUGCUUCUAGUCGUGUUCUGUGGGCAUCACGAGUACGUGCUCCAAAAGUUUUACCUGACUGAAGCAAAGCUUUUUCAGUAUGAAACACCUCCUAAAUUUUCUUUACGGAAGAAUGCAAACCAUGCGCUACCUUCUUUCUAUUCAUAUCAAUAUGGUCUAUGUUCUGUCGCAGAUCACCAAUCAGUGGGCAAAUGUUGACAUUUGUUUUGGGAAAAAAGCACCUUACAUCAUGAGUUUAUGAAGUCUAAAGGCCAUUAUGUGCCUUAAAUCCUUAAGCAUCUGUUUUUAUUCGAGGGCUUCUGAAACUCGCGGUCGUCAAUAGGCUGGUGACAUCCAGGUCUCUGUAUUUCAUAAAGCCAUGUUAGUUUCUUCAAUAAAUGAAACGAACAACUUGUUUAGCUUUGAUAUACUUUGAUUUUGUGUAGUGAAUUUAGCUUUAACUUCUUGCAUUGGAAAAAAUCCAACUGUGCAAGCCUGUGCUUCUAUGUUCUAUUUCUAUCAGGUAACGUCAUGAUAUUAACCUCGACGGUCAAGUCAAACCAUCCCAUUUCUAUUUUCUGCGACUGUAGAUAUAGUUUUUAUUCUGUAACAAUCCAUGGUUGCUCUGUGCAUAGCACAAUCUUCUCUCUUCCUGAUGAAAGAAUAAUGGCUGGGCAAAAUGUUAAAACAACUGGAAAAGGUCAUGGCCAGUAGGGUCGUGGGCUCAAAGAUUUUUUCUUCGCAUUCUUAAGGGCUAAUGGCGCAGGAAUGGAGCAUAGAAGAUCCAGUUCCAAUUUUUGGUUUUUAUAUGUUAUUUUCUUUUUAUUUGGAUUCAGAUCCAGGGGAAAUGUUUUUUGUCUAUAUGAAGGCGUUUAGGCCUCAUAUUGUAAGGGGGAUCUUGAGUUUUAAUAAAAUCCUAAUGGUUAUUUGUGUUUA